UAGUCCACGCUGUAAACGAUGAUCACUAAGUGUUCGGCCUUCGGGUUGAGUGCUCAAGCGAAAGCGAUAAGUGAUCCACCUGGGGAGUACGUCGGCAACGAUGAAACUCAAAGGAAUUGACGGGGGCCCGCACAAGCGGUGGAGCAUGUGGUUUAAUUCGAUGAUACGCGAGGAACCUUACCUAGGCUACAAUGCCUCUGCUACUGGGUGAAAGCUCAGGUUCCUUCGGGACAGAGUGCAAGGUGCUGCAUGGUUGUCGUCAGCUCGUGUCGUGAGAUGUUGGGUUAAGUCCCGCAACGAGCGCAACCCUUGUCUUUAGUUGCCAUCAUUAAGUUGGGCACUUUAAAGAGACUGCCGGUGACAAACCGGAGGAAGGUAAGGAUGACGUCAAGUCAGCAUGCCCCUUAUGCUCUGGGCUACACACGUGCUACAAUGGCCGUGACAAAGAGUUGCUACUUUAUGAAAACAAGCUAAUCUCAUAAACGCGGCCUCAGUUCGG
rnacentral:rRNA from 1 species